rnacentral:rRNA from 1 species
CAAUUGCGCGAAAGCGUGACGGAGCAAUGCCGCGUGCAGGAUGAAGCCCCUCGGGGUGUAAACUGCUGUCAGGGUUUAGGAACACAAUGACCAGACCCAAAGGAAGAGACGACUAACUCUGUGCCAGCAGUCGCGGUAAUACAGAGGUCUCGAGCGUUAAUCGGAAUCACUGGGCUUAAAGCGUACGUAGGCGGAGAUGCAGGCGUCAUGUGAAAUCCCUCGGCUCAACCGAGGAACUGCAUGGCGAACCGCACCUCUUGAGACAAGUAGGGGCUGUCGGAACGAUAGGUGGAGUGGUGAAAUGCGUUGAUAUCUAUCGGAACGCCAAAGGUGAAGACAGGCAGCUGGGCUUGUUCUGACGCUGAGGUACGAAAGCGUGGGGAGCGAACGGGAUUAGAUACCCCGGUAGUCCACGCCGUAAACGAUGUGCACUAGAUCGAGGAGGUUCUGACACCAUUCUCGGUCGAAGUAAAAAUGUUUAGUGCACCGCCUGGGGAGUACGGUCGCAAGGCUAAACUCA